CAUAUAUACACCAUAUAUAUACACCGUGGUGUAUAUAUAUAUAUACACCAUAUUUAUACUAUAUAUAUAUAUACACACCAUAUAUAUAUAUACACCAUAUAUACACCAUAUAUAUACACCAUAUAUAUAUAUAUAUACACCAUAUAUAUACACACCAUAUAUAUACACACCAUAUAUAUACACCAUAUAUAUAUACACACACACCAUAUAUACACCAUAUAUAUAUAUAUACACCAUAUAUAUACACACCAUAUAUAUAUAUACGUCCUCCAACCGAGACCGUCAUGGCGGGCGAAUGCAGGACAGAAGGCCACCCGUCCCCUGAGCGUCACACAUCCCCACCGUUCCUGUCCCGCUCACCCGCAUCCUUCCGCGCUCGUGCCGAGACGAGGCUGCCCGGGACCACCCAGCCCACGGGGCACCCGGGUUUCUUCCUCACGUCUCCUGUGGAAAACACGGUGGGACACAGCGAUGGUAGUCACCAAUUCCAUUUCUACAACUAUUCGGUUAUUUAUUCCACUUCUGCAACUAUUCAGUUAUUUAUUCCAUUUAUACAACUACUUAGUCAUUGGAAGAACUAAAUAUGGAGGGGGAAAAAAACAGAAAAACAGCAGAAAUGUUAGGUAAGGGCAUUACAAUGCUAGGGUCAAGAGUGCCCCCCCCCGCCAUCAUUCACAUCCACCCGGAACCUCAGAAUCUGCCCUGAUUUGGAAAUGAAAUCUUUGCACAUUGGGAACAUCCUACAACACACCCUGUCUAUGCAGCAAGGGGAGCUGUUUGGGGCGAGGGAUGAAGACCUCCCCGGUGGGGCCUGGUGGUUGACUCCUUGACGUUGAAAUAGGACGAUUCCGAUGCGGGUGGUUCCCAAGAUGAACCCGGAGGGCAAGGAGCCAUUUUCAAGCCAUCUCGGACCCUCCCGUCCAGGUGGCGGUCUGCUGGUGAAUUGUCCUCCCACCAGUUCACGCCCCCAGUUGACCCAUCUCUGGUCAUAGUCGGAGAAGCAUAAGCACCAAGUGCGUUCUUGUCGCCCACGCGCCAACGGGAUCAUUUCAGCAGACACCGACAGACUUCAUGGAGACAGCGGGUGGCUAUAGAAUGUCGGAGCAACCAACUGUAGAUCCUGCACACCCGACAUGAUUAAUGGCGGAGGAAGUCUUUGCAGAGACAAAUGGGGUCGUUUCCCCAGAAGACAGGCCAUCUGGCUGCCUUUGGAACCAACAAAAACAAGAAUCGUCCCCGGCGCUCUGUGUCUUGGUCAUCUGGGGCUCCCAUCAUCUUUAGGGGACAUUUGGUCCCGUCCAGAACGUCCAUGAGACGCUUGGUCCAUGAUAUAUCUGGUCUACACCAAAGGUCCUUGAAAUCUGGUCCAGUCCAGAGCGUCCAUGAGACGCUUGGUCCAUGAUAUAUCUGGUCUACACCAAAGGUCCUUGAAGUCUGGUCCAGUCCAGAACGUCCAUGAGACACUUGGUCUAUGAUCUAUUGGGUCCACACCAAAGGUCGUUGAAAUCUGGUCCCGUCCAGAAGGUCCAUAAGACACUCGGUCCAUGAUCUAUUGGGUCUACACCAAAGGUCCUUGAAGUCUGGUCCAGUCCAGAGCGUCCAUGAGACACUUGGUCCAUGAUAUAUCUGGUCUACACCAAAGGUCCUUGAAAUUUGGUCCCGUCCAGAACGUCCAUGAGACACUUGGUCCAUGAUCUAUUGGGUCUACACCAAAGGUCCUUGAAAUUGGUCCUGUCCACAUUUGAUCCACAUCAAUAGGUCCUUCGUAUCUGGUCAUACUUGGUUCUGUCCAAAACGUCUAUGGAGACAUUUGUUCUGCCCCAAAAGGUCCUUCGUAUUUCGUGCUCCUCUAAGACCAUUUGGCGUGGACUGAAUACUCUCAUGGCCUGCGCUCACUGCCUCCCGUCUCUGCAAACGCUCCCUCCUUCCUCGUGUCGUCUUCCACCAUCUUGUCUCCACAAGUCGCUGCCCGUCUUCCCGAGGGCAAAUUCUUGUCAAGAUUAUGACUCCUCCCUUCAGGUCCAAACUCCAAUUAAAACGACCGGCUGUUCAAACAGGGGGAAAUUAGUGUCCACCCUGAAAAGCAGCUUGGGGUGGCGCUCCGAUACCCAAAACGUGGAAGGGUGUUAGCUGGACGUGGCUCAGCAUAAAACAGAGCAAAACACAAACCAGAGUUAUCGAAAAAGGAAGAACAGAUUUUAGUUAAAAAAAAAAAAUAUAUAUAUAUAUAUAUAUAUGAUACAUAAGAUUUCCAAGAUUCAGAGGAAAUUGGAACAUUGGAUUCUAAGAAAUGAGCAAACUGACAUAAUGGUCUGCACAAAAUAGAAAAAAAAUACCAUGACUGCUGAGUUAAAAAUAUCGAUGUGGGCAGUUUGCACUCUGAGAAAUCAAAUUUUGGGAAAACAGAAAACCGACAAUGAGAGAAUGUUUCCGGCAUGCAGAGGAAAGCAUAAAACGCUGGGGGGAAAGCAAAAUAAGAGGAAAAUAGCGAUAUUGAGAUAAUUUCCGAAAUCCAACUUGUGAGAAGGAGCAUUUUCUCCCAAGGAAUUUGGGAUCGAGGGGUCGGAAGCGAUCAUUAUAGAAAUUGCAGAAGAUGAGUAUGGUCAGACGUAAAAACUGAAAAGUGACGAUACGCGGAGUUCUCAGUGAAAACUGGAAAGAGAACCAGUUCUGGACAUAUGGUGGUGGCAUUUGUCCAAAAAAAAAAAGAUAAAAUAAAAUUCCACAAAUAUUCACUCUGUUUCACUCCAUCAUCGUGCAGGGCUGGAAAGUCACCUGGCAGAUGGGAAACCGAUUUCUACGUAAACGAGUGAAUAUUGCCCGGAAAUAGAUUUCUCCCCUAAAUCAGGCUGUUUUGGGCACGGUCUCGAUUCUCGCCUCCAGAGCCAUCAGACGAUGUCAAGAGGCUUUCUUCUUAAUCCAGACGUCAAAAAACAUCAAAAAAAAAAAAAAAAAACAAGAGUGAGACAUUAUAAUUCUCAAAUAUUUUAGCUAAACUCAGGGGGCACCCGGCUCAAACCCGUGUUCGGAUCCAUCGAGCCGUGUGGGACAGGAACCAAUACCCUUAACGGGGAUUUUCUGACUUUGGGACCAAACGGUUUGCGUAUUCCUUCUCUGAGGGACGAAAACGAGAUUAGUCGAUCGAAAUCUGUUCGAUUUGGUGCUCCUCCGAGCGUGGGAAACGCCGUUCCACGACAAAAUUUAGAAUAUGGGAAGUCUUUUUAAGAAUUAGACUAUUUGCUAAAAAUCCCUUUACCUGGCGCGUGCCACCAAAAAUUGUGCUUCUUCGAGAAAGAGGCCCGAGGCGAGCGAUGGUGGGAACCCGGCGUCCGCGACUCGGCUGAAAUGUCUCAUCUUUUGUGAUUUCAGAAAUUUCAGCGUCGUCCCUUUACCUCAUGGAGGACCCUACUCAGUAGUUAGAAAGCGGAACUGUGAUCAAGACGAGUGGGAGGAGGAGGAGGAGGAGGAGUUGUAGGAGUAAUAGCAGGAGUAGUAAUUGCCAUUGGAGUAUCUAGUAGUUGUAGGAGUAGUAAUAGUAGGAGUAGUAACUGUCAUUGUGGUAGCUAUAUCUAGUAGUUGUAGGAGUAGUAAUAGUAGGAGUAGUAACUGUCAUUGUGGUAGCUAGUAGGAGUAGGAGUAGGAGUAGUAAUAGUAGGAGUAGUGAUUGUCAUUGUAGUAGUAGUAGGAGGAGUAGGAGUAGUAAUAGUAGGAGUAGUAAUUGUCAUUGUGGCAGUUAGUACUAGUAGGAGUAGGAGUAGUAAUAGUAGGAGUAGUAAUUGUCAUUGUGGUAGCUAGUAGUAGUAGGAGCAGGAGUAGUAAUAGUAGGAGUAGUAACUGUUAUCGUGGUAGCUAGUAGUAGUAGUAGCAGUAGGAGGAGUAGUAAUAGUAGGAGUAGUAAUUGUCAUUGCAGGAGCAAUAGUCACAAUAGUGGCACGAGUUGUAGGAGUGACACUCAUUAUAGGAACAGUCGUAGCAGCCGUAGUUAUGGUGGUUUGACUAGAAGGAGCAUCUGCAGCAGUAGUCGUCACAGUUGUAGCACUCAUACAAGUGUACUAGUACUCAUAGUUGUAGUAGCAGGAAGAAUAAUGACUGCAGCAGGUGUGGUACUAGGAACAGCAGUCGUCGUAGUACUCAUAAUUGCUGUGGUGACAGCAGUUGUAGCAGUCAUAAUAAUGGUGGUAAUACUCGCGGCCGUGGUAGUUUUGGUAGUAGCAGUCAUUGCUGUAGUUGUAGUAGUAGCGCUAAUUGUUACAGUAACAAUAGUUGUAGCAGCGGUUGCAACCGUAGCACUGGUACUAAGAGUAGUAGUAAUAAGAGUAGUAGUAGCAGUAAUUGUUGCAGUACUAAUUGUUGUCGUAACAUUGGUGGUAGUAGUAGCAGGAAUUGUGGUAGCGGUUGGAAUAGUGGUACUAGUAAUUGUGCUCAUAAAGUAAUAGCUAAUAGAGUUUAUGUAUCUAUUGCAUUUAUAUAUGUUUAUAUUGUAUUACAUGUGUAAUAUAAGUAUAUACGUGUAUAUUGUAACCAUUUAUUAUAAUACAUUGUAUAAUUGUAAUGCAUACAGUUGUAACAAUAUAUAUGCA
ensembl:lncRNA